rnacentral:rRNA from 1 species
CAAUAGCGUAUAUUAAAGCUGUUGCGGUUAAAAAGCUCGUAGUUGGAUUUCUGUCAAGGACAACUGGUCCGCCCUCCGGGUGAGCACAUAGUUUGGUCUUGGCAUCUUGCUGGAAACUGUUGCUGCGCUUGGUUGUGUGGUGCAGCUUUCAGCACUUUCACUUUGAGGAAAUUGGAGUGUUUCAAGCAGGCACAUGCCUUUGGACACAGUAGCAUGGAAUAAUUAGAUUGGGCUUUUGCUCCAACUUGUUGGUUCCUGGAGCUGAGGUGAGAAUCAAUGGGGAUUGUUGGGGGCAUCCGAAUUUAGCCGUCAGAGGUGAAAUUUUUGGAUCUGCUAAAGACGGACAACUGCGAAAGCGUUUGCCCAGGAUGUUUUCAUUGA